rnacentral:misc_RNA from 1 species
UCGAUGGUGGGGUGGGGAACGAGAAGGGGUUCCAAUAUCCUCGACGAAACCGCCGCCACAUUCAGGGCAAAGGAUCGAAUCAUGGGUUGCCCGAACCCUGACCGAUGAAACGGCUGCAUCUGUAGCACCAAAAAGAAGAUUCCAUUGAAGCCAUUCAGUCAAGAAUCAGACUCUUGAAGUCCUCUUUACGCCGCGGCAACGCUGUAGC